rnacentral:rRNA from 1 species
AUUGAACGCUGGCGGAGUGCUUUACACAUGCAAGUCGAACGGCAGCACGGACUUCGGUCUGGUGGCGAGUGGCGAAUGGGUGAGUAAUGUAUCGGAACGUGCCCAGUCGUGGGGGAUAACGUAGUGAAAAUUACGCUAAUACCGCAUACGAUCUAUGGAUGAAAGCGGGGGAUCGCAAGACCUCGCGCGAUUGGAGCGGCCGAUAUCAGAUUAGGUAGUUGGUGGGGUAAAGGCCCACCAAGCCAACGAUCUGUAGCUGGUCUGAGAGGACGACCAGCAACACUGGAACCGAGACACGUUCCAGACUCCUACGGGAGGCAGCAGUGGGGAAUUUUGGACAAUGGGCGAGAGCCUGAAUCAGCCAUUCCUCGUGCAGGAUGAAGGCCCUCGGGUUGUAAACUGCUUUUGUACAGAACGAAAAGGUUUCUACUAAUACUAGGAGCUCAUGACGGUACUGUAAGAAUAAGCACCGGCUAACUACGUGCCAGCCGCCGCCGUAA